rnacentral:rRNA from 2 species
AGUGAAGCGGGAUGAGCUCAAAUUUAAAAUCUGGCUGGUUUACUAGUCCGAAUUGUAGUUUAAAGAAGCGUUUUCGGUGGCAGCCUGGGUAUAAAUCCUUUGGAAUAGGGUAUCAUAGAGGGUGAGAAUCCCGUCUUUGACUCAGUGAAUGCUACUAUGUGAUACGUUUUCAAAGAGUCGAGUUGUUUGGGAAUGCAGCUCAAAAUGGGUGGUAAAUUUCAUCUAAAGCUAAAUAUUGGCGAGAGACCGAUAGCGAACAAGUACCGUGAGGGAAAGAUGAAAAGAACUUUGAAAAGAGAGUUAAACAGUACGUGAAAUUGUUGAAAGGGAAACGUUUGACACCAGUCAUGCGGGUGGGAAAUCAGUCUUUUAGUGUGGGGAGUGGUGGGGGUUCGGACCGCAAGGCUGGCCUUUAUCUCAUCUCUGCGCUAAUGGAUGCACUUUUUCAUUUGCAGGUCAACAUCAGUUUCUUCUGCUGGACAAAACUCUGAGAGAAGGUAGCAGCUUUGGCUGUGUUAUAGCUCUGGAGCGAUACAGUGGAGGGGACUGAGGCUUUCGCAGUGUGUGCUUUCGGGCAAGGUUGACUGGGUGCUAUGUGAUCGUUCGGUGUACAAUGCAUGCAUUUUGCGCUGUGUCUUUUGCAUACUCGCCUGAAUCGACUCUUCCACGCUUAGGAUGUUGACUUAAUGGUUUUAAACGACCCGUCUUGAAACACGGACCAAGGAGUCUAACAUAUAUGCAAGUGUUUGGGUGGCAAACCCAUACGCGUAAUGAAAGUGAACGUAGGUGCGAUCCGCAAGGUGCAGCAUCGACCGAUCUUGAUAUUUUUGGAUAGAUUUGAGUAAGAGCAUAUAUGCUGGGACCCGAAAGAUGGUGAACUAUGCCUGAAUAGGGUGAAGCCAGAGGAAACUCUGGUGGAGGCUCGUAGCGAUUCUGACGUGCAAAUCGAUCGUCAAAUUUGGGUAUAGGGGCGAAAGACUA